GCCCCUUCUGGAUUCCUUUCUACCUCCAUGGCAUCAUGUUUUCCUCUGCUCUCAUCUCUCCUCCUCCUUUGGAUGUGAUGAUGGCUACAUAGCUUCAAAACUAUGCUGGAGCCAUAGCAUCCUUGAAUGUGUUUCUCAGUGUUGUGGUGGCUAAACUUCCUGCAGAAUCUCUGCUUGUCACAAAAACUUUGGCAAAUGAUUUAGCUUGCAUUUAACAAGGGGCUAGUUCUUCUGUCAAGUUGGAAGCUUUGGUGCUGGGAGGCACAAGCUGGCACAAGCGAGAUCUGGGAUUUCUCCAAGGCCAGCAGAGAAGAUCCCAGUCACCAGUGUCGCACUGACAGCAUCCUCAUUGUUCCAGCCCAGGCCACAGGCUCAUAUGGAGCAUGGACCCCUGAGAGCCCAUCCCUCAUAAAAGGCUGGAUUUACACAGUUACCUAGUGGAGGAGACAUGCUGCAGCUCCGGCUCUCUUCCCUCACUUCCUAGCAGAGGCACUUGCAAAAUUUCUUCUGAUUUCAAGGAGGCAAAGAUCUUGGCACGAUUUUAUCUUAUGGCAAAAAGAAAUUUUCUUAGAUCCUGAAGUCAAGGAUGGUUACUCAUGAGCAUUUUUUCACAGCUUUAAGAUAGAUUAAAAAAGCUAGGUUACGAACAUGCAAUGACAUCCAAAGUAAUUUUCUGCUUCAUGGGUUAUUUGUUGGAAUUUGCCCGGCAGGAAGAAGCACGCUGAGAUUUUUAGGAUUUAUUCUUUAUAUAUAAUUAGAAUAAUUUUUUAUUAAGAAAAGUUUUGAAACAGUUUCCCAACAAUAAAUCUGACUGUAAGUGAAGUCCUGAGAAUUGC
rnacentral:lncRNA from 1 species